rnacentral:rRNA from 1 species
ACGAACGCUGGCGGCGUGCUUAACACAUGCAAGUCGAACGGAAAGGCCCUGCUUUUGUGGGGUGCUCGAGUGGCGAACGGGUGAGUAACACGUGAGUAACCUGCCCUUGACUUUGGGAUAACUUCAGGAAACUGGGGCUAAUACCGGAUAGGAGCUCCUGCUGCAUGGUGGGGGUUGGAAAGUUUCGGCGGUUGGGGAUGGACUCGCGGCUUAUCAGCUUGUUGGUGGGGUAGUGGCUUACCAAGGCUUUGACGGGUAGCCGGCCUGAGAGGGUGACCGGCCACAUUGGGACUGAGGUACGGCCCAGACUCCUACGGGAGGCAGAAGUGGGGAAUAUUGCACAAUGGGCGGAAGCCUGAUGCAGCAACGCCGCGUGCGGGAUGACGGCCUUCGGGUUGUAAACCGCUUUCGCCUGUGACGAAGCGUGAGUGACGGUAAUGGGUAAAGAAGCACCGGCUAACUACGUG